rnacentral:rRNA from 1 species
AGAGUUUGAUUAUGGCUCAGGAUGAACGCUGGCGGCGUGCUUAACACAUGCAAGUCGAACGAACCUUCGGGUUAGUGGCGGACGGGUGAGUAACGCGUGAGAAUCUGCCCUCAGGAGGGGGAUAACGGUUGGAAACGACCGCUAAUACCCCAUAUGCCUACGGGUGAAAUGAAUUUCGCCUGAGGAUGAGCUCGCGUCUGAUUAGCUAGUUGGUGAGGUAAUGGCUUACCAAGGCUUCGAUCAGUAGCUGGUCUGAGAGGAUGAUCAGCCACACUGGGACUGAGACACGGCCCAGACUCCUACGGGAGGCAGCAGUGGGGAAUUUUCCGCAAUGGGCGAAAGCCUGACGGAGCAACGCCGCGUGAGGGACGAAGGCCUCUGGGCUGUAAACCUCUUUUCUCAAGGAAGAAGAUAUGACGGUACUUGAGGAAUAAGCCACGGCUAAUUCCGUGCCAGCCGCCGCGGUAAUAC